CGGGUGACACAGUGACAGAGUGAGGGAGCGGGUGACACAGUGACAGAGUUAGGGAGGGAGUGACUAGUGACAGAGAGAGGGAUGGGGUGACUAGUGACAGUCACCCCCCCUCACUCUGUCACUAGUCACCCCUUCCCUCCCUCACUCUGCCACUAGUCAUCUCUUCCCUCCCUCACUCUGCCACUAGUCACCCAUUCCCUCACUCUGUCACUAGUCACCC